rnacentral:lncRNA from 1 species
CUUCUACCAGAGUCACUGAUUCCCCCCAAAUUUUUAAAAUAUGCUCCCUAACCUAUGGACUCAGAUGAGGUAUUCAUCGUAAAAAAAUAAUUCCCUUAAGCAUGUUUUCUCCAUUUCCAGGUGUCUCUGUGUUGUGGUGUGGUGAUGUCCAGGAACUUGAAACUCUGCUAUGGCUGAGUCCACAGCCUGAAUGGCUGUAAGAAGCAUGGUACAAAAUGGUCCACCACUAUUACAGGAAUAUUCACAUCAGCAUGAAGGAAUUUAAUAUCAAUCUGAAUUACAAGAGAAGAAAGUAUUUUUUUCUGGAUCAUUUUCAGUAACCUCACAGAAGGUCCUGCAUGUAAAAAUAAAAGGUAAGAUGGUUUGGAGCUCUAAAAAUUAAUAAUUGUUAAUACCUAUUUCUUAGCAGAUCUGUCACCAGUGACAGGGAAACAGCUUGUAUGAAUGUGACAUUACUGCCCAGACCUGUGACUGCAGCAGAGACCAGGCC